UGCGUAGGGGGCUAGCGUUGUCCGGAUUUAUUGGGCGUAAAGAGCGUGUAGGCGGCCAGGUAGGUCUGGUGUGAAAACUCGAGGCUUAACCUCGAGAUGUCAUCGGAAACCAUUUGGCUAGAGUCCGGAAGAGGAGAGUGGAAUUCCUGGUGUAGCGGUGAAAUGCGCAGAUAUCAGGAAGAACACCAAUGGCGAAAGCAGCUCUCUGGGACGGUACUGACGCUGAGACGCGAAAGCGUGGGGAGCGAACAGG
rnacentral:rRNA from 1 species